rnacentral:rRNA from 1 species
CCUACGGGUGGCAGCAGUCGAGAAUCAUUCACAAUGGUGGAAACCCUGAUGGUGCGACGCCGCGUGGGGGAAUGAAGGUCUUCGGUUUGAAACCCCCUGUCAUGUGGGAGCAAAUUAAAAAGAUAGUACCACAAGAGGAAGAGACGGCUAACUCUGUGCCAGCAGCCGCGGGAAUACAGAGGGCUCAAGCGUUGUUCGGCAUCACUGGGCGUAAAGCGUGCGUAGGCGGUUGCGUAAGUCGUGUGUGAAAGGCGCGGGCUCAACCCGCGGACUGCACAUGCUACUGCGGGGCUAGAGUAAAGUAGGGGGAACCGGAAUUCUCGGUGUAGCAGUGAAAUGCGUAGAUAUCGAGAGGAACACUCGUGGCGAAGGCGGGUUCCGGGACAUUAACUGACGCUGAGGCACGAAGGCCAGGGGAGCGAAAGGGAUUAGAUACCCUGGUAGUC